GGCUCUAUGAUUAAAUGCCUAAUUACGGGCAAAAUACGCUAUUCCGAUGCCAAAUAUGAGCAGAAACUUUCGUUGAAUGAGGGCU
rfam:Citrus clementina cultivar Clemenules unplaced genomic scaffold scaffold_6, whole genome shotgun sequence.